rnacentral:rRNA from 1 species
GGAUUGAACGCUGGCGGCAGGCCUAACACAUGCAAGUCGAGCGGCAGCACGGGUACUUGUACCUGGUGGCGAGCGGCGGACGGGUGAGUAAUGCCUAGGAAUCUGCCUGGUAGUGGGGGAUAACGCUCGGAAACGGACGCUAAUACCGCAUACGUCCUACGGGAGGAAGCAGGGGACCUUCGGGCCUUGCGCUAUCAGAUGAGCCUAGGUCGGAUUAGCUAGUUGGUGAGGUAAUGGCUCACCAAGGCGACGAUCCGUAACUGGUCUGAGAGGAUGAUCAGUCACACUGGAACUGAGACACGGUCCAGACUCCUACGGGAGCAGCAGUGGGAAUAGUUGGACAAUGGGACGAAAGCCUGAUCCAGCCAUGCCGCGUGUGUGAAGAAGGUCUUCGGAUUGUAAGCUACUUUAGUGGAGAAGGCAGUUACUAAUACGUAUCUGUUUGACGUUACGACAGAAUAA